CGGCGAGUGAAGCGGCAACAGCUCAAAUUUGAAAUCUGGCCUCUUUGGGGUCCGAGUUGUAAUUUGUAGAGGAUGUUUCGGGUACCGCCCUGGUCUAAAUUUCUUGGAACAGAAUGUCAAAGAGGGUGAGAGUCCCGUCUUGGACCGGCGGUAGGGCCCAUGUGAAGCUCCUUCGACGAGUCGAGUUGUUUGGGAAUGCAGCUCAAAAUGGGUGGUAAAUUUCAUCUAAAGCUAAAUAUUGGCCAGAGACCGAUAGCGCACAAGUAGAGUGAUCGAAAGAUGAAAAGCACUUUGAAAAGAGAGUUAAACAGUAUGUGAAAUUGUUGAAAGGGAAGCGCUUGCAACCAGACUUGCGCGCGACGGUUCCCCCUUCCUUUUGGUUGGGUUACUCCGUCGUGUCCAGGCCAACAUCGGUUCUGGGGGCCGGUUAAAGGCCUUGGGAAUGUACCUACCCUUCGGGCGUAGACUUAUAGCCCAGGGCGUCAUGCGGCCUCCCGGGACCGAGGAACGCGCUUCGGCUCGGAUGUUGGCGUAAUGGUUGUCAGCGACCCGUCUUGAAACACGGACCAAGGAGUCUAACAUCUAUGCGAGUGUUUGGGUGUCAAACCCGGAACGCGUAAUGAAAGUGAACGGAGGUAGGAAGCUUCGGCUGCACUAUCGACCGAUCCUGAUGUCUUCGGAUGGAUUUGAGUAAGAGCAUAGCUGUUGGGACCCGAAAGAUGGUGAACUAUGCCUGAAUAGGGUGAAGCCAGAGGAAACUCUGGUGGAGGCUCGCAGCGGUUCUGACGUGCAAAUCGAUCGUCAAAUUUGGGUAUAGGGGCGAAAGACUAAUCGAACCAU
rnacentral:rRNA from 1 species